rnacentral:rRNA from 1 species
AUGUCGUCGUACAAGAGCUCACCGGCGAUGCAACGGAGGCUUGUGCUGGUGGCACUGCCUCUGCUCCUCUCCUGCGGCGUCCGCGGGCAGGUGGUGCCGGCGGUGAUCUCGUUCGGCGACUCGACCAUCGACGUCGGCAACAACAACUACCUGCCCGGCGCCGUCUUCAAGGCCAACUACGCGCCGUACGGGGAGAACUUCCGGCGCCACCGGGCCACCGGCAGGUUCUCCGACGGCAAGAUCGUCACCGACAUCACCGCUGAAACACUCGGCUUUGAGGGCUACGCGCCGCCGUACCUGAGCCCGCUGGCGUCGGGGAAGAACCUCCUCACCGGCGCCAACUUCGGCUCCGCCGCGUCCAGCUACUCCGACGACACGGCGGCCAUGUAUGAUGCAAUCACGCUGUCGCAGCAGCUCAAGUACUACAAGGAGUACAGGUCCAAGCUGGCGGCGGUGGCCGGGCGGCGGCAGGCGCGCACCAUCCUCGCCGAGGCGCUGUACGUCGUCAGCACCGGCACCGGCGACUUCAUCCAGAACUACUACCACAACGCCUCCCUGUCCGCCCGCUACGACGUCGACCGCUACUGCGACCUCCUCGUCGGCAUCUUCUCCGGCUUCGCCAGCGUCAGUACUCCGACUCACCGACAUCGCCAGCCUCACCUCGCUUCGCCUGCUCAUCAUAUAUGUACCUUAUGUGACCUUGUUGUGGGUUUGGACAUAUUGCAGGAGCUGUACAGGCUGGGGGCGCGGCGGAUCGGCGUGACGACGAUGCCGCCGCUGGGGUGCCUGCCGGCGACGAUCAGGCUGUACGGCAAGGGCCGGAGCGGCGGCGGGUGCCUGCCGAGGCUCAACCGCGACGCGGAGACCUUCAACCGGAAGCUGAACGCCACCGUGGGGGCGCUGCUGAGGCGGCACGCGGGCCUCAAGGUGGCCGUCUUCGACAUCUACACGCCGCUCCGGGACCUCUCGGAGAGGCCCGCGGCGCAGGGCUUCGCGGAGGCGAGGAGGACGUGCUGCCGGACGGGGAAGGCCGGGACGAGGGUCUACCUCUGCGACCCGGCGACGGCGGCCGGGAUGUGCCGGAACGCCAGCAGCUACGUGUACUUCGACGGCGUGCACCCGUCGGAGGCGGCCAACCUGGUCGUCGCCGAGUCCCUGGUGUCGGCGGGCAUCGACUUGCUCACCUAG